AGCCUCUGGAGCCGCUGGGACUACAGGAGUGAGCUCCGUGCCCGGCUGCUUGGCUUGGCUGUGCGGCUUCCCCCUCUCGACGUGGACAGCAGAUGCACCAGGCAGAGGGCCACCCUGCUGGGCUGGCAGGCAGCAUGGCCCCUGGCCUGUGGCUUCUCCCUCCUUCCCCUCUUACUCCUGCCUCCCUGGCCCGCCCCACUCCUCUGCUCCCUUCUCCCCACAGACACCCACGCGGGGAUAUUUCCAGAGUGUUCUCUCGUCCAUCUGCCAUACAUUUGUUUGGAUCUACGUGUAUCCAAAUAGUCGUGGUGAAAAGCACAUGAAGACGGAGACGUUCUGCUUUUUAUGUGUUUCUCCGGUUUUACACCCAAGGCCCCCGAGCUCCUGCUUCUUCCCCCUCAGCCCGGCCUUGGCGAGGUCGCCGUCGCUGCUCUGGCCGGUGGGACUCGGCUGUGUCGGGGGUGCACAACCCCCUCAGCCACGGCGCUGCCCCGGGGGCUUCCUUCUGGUCCUGGGCAACUGGGGGCCCACCUCCGGCCUCCUCCGCAGGUGAAGGGGCCCGGGAGCUGGCCCUGGGCACCCGCGGGGGAGGCUGGUUCCUCGGCGCUGGCCCUGCAGCCUCCUCGCGGCUCCUCCUCCUCCUGUCCCUCCGAGCUGCUUGGGACGGUGACCCCUGAGUGGCUUCAUGGUGGCAGAGGCCACCGGUCUGAAUGCUGCCUGGGGAGCAGAUGGCAGGCCAGGCCGUGCCCCCGGCCCUUGUGCGGCAGUGACCCCUCCGUUGGGUGUGGGCCUUGGGUCCACCGUCACCAUGGCCAAUGUGAACUUGAACCAGAACAAGCAAACAAGGCCGUGUUCCCCUCCUGCCCGCCUCCGCUGGGCACAGUUGCCCCAGAGCCCUGGAGCGAGGCCAUCGUGAGCCCUCCACAGUGUCCCUGUGCAUUUGUAGCAGGUAGGAGGCCACAGCCAGGGGCUGCGACCUCAGAGGCCCCGGUGUUCAGGAGCCCGAGGGCACACACCUGCGGGGGGCCAGGGUGGCUGUCACUGGGUCUCGUCUGGCGCCAUCCCUCGGAAGGCUCCGGCUGUGGCUCUGGUGGCCUGGACCCUGAGGCUGGCUCCUGACCGUCCUUGAGAUUCUGAGCGUGCCCUUCCCUGUCAACAGGACUACGAGGACGAGUUCUGUCGCGCCCAGUGGCUGACCCUUGUCAUAUGCUUGACCAGAGCCCAACAGGGGCGGAUGGUGCGUAUUUUGACUUUAUGGAUCACACAGUUUCUGUGCAGCCCAGGCUGCGGUGGCACUGUUGACACAGCCGCGGGCAAUCUGUAAAUGAGUGGGCAUGGCCACGUUCCAAUAAAACUUUAUAAAAACAGUGGCCCCGGGUUGUAGUUUGCUGAUCUCUGAGCUGAGAAAGAGGUGUCUUCUCUUCAAGUCUGUGUAGUAUUCAUGCCUUGUUUCCUGUCUUAUGUACUAAGACAGGAAAACGCAGAGGGGCCCACACACAGCCUCACACCUCCGCGGGGGUCAGCAGUAGACAACCUGCGCAACAGAACCAGGGCACCAGCGGAGUCCAGGCUCGGCCCCACUGAGCCCCCCCUCCCCCCGCGGUGGCAGCCCCCACCAGCCAGGCUUUAUCCCACGUCCCUGGUGACAUCCGCUUCUUGCUGAGGAAGGAGGGCAACCGUGGGGGCUCCAUUCUCAAAGGCGAACUGUUCCGGUGACUAAUCCGUCUUUCCCUCCCGAGUUUUCAUUUGUCCCGCUCCACUGGGCCUGAGUCAGGCUCUUGUGGAGCUCUGCUUAAAAUGCAGGCGAGUGUCUGCCUCCGACUGCAGACCCGCCAGGCCUGGGCGCCUGGAUUCCAGCAGCGACCUCGGGAGCUGUCCAGGGCUGGCCAGGACUCCCUCCCUGGGCGUCGGACCCGACUCAACAGCGGGAAGAGGGUGAGGGGCCGCGGGACCCCCCAGCACCUCCCCUUCUUCCAGGACCUGCCGCAAAUCUGAUCUCAAAGGCCAGCUCCGAAGCUCUGCACUCGGAUUUGCAAAUCCGAUGGACCCUCUGCUGACCACGCUGCACCUGGACGCCGCUCCCACAGUCCCGCGGAAGUUCCCACGCUGCUCCUUUCAAUCAGUUGGUGGCUUUCUUUGUGCAGCGUGACGUCAUUUCCACGUGGGCGACUGCUCGACGCCCCCAGCCUGGUCCCGUGGACAGAGCCGAUUCCGGAACCGUGAGAAGGUGCCAGAGCUCCGCCGCGUGGUCCUUGGGUCUGUCUUGGAAGGCUGAAUCGGAGGGGCCAGGACUGGAACAUGCUCAAUCACCGACUGAAUGACCAGGCCUGAUCCGGGUGUCUCCUGCUAGCAAGGAAGGAAUAGAGGGAAAGAAAUUGACCUCUUGUGUUCUGACCUGUGGAUGCUGCUGUAAGAGCACAGUGUCUGGAGAUGUGGCAGCCAUCUUGGGUCCAUGAGAGAGACUGUGCCAUCACAAGAAAAGAUGGAAAGAACCUAGAUGUUUGACACUUGCUGCCCUGUGUGUGCGCAUGGCCAGUCCCGGAAACCCCAGAGGAGCCCAAGGAGAAAAUGAAAAUCACCUGCGUUCCCAGCCUCCACAGACGCGCACGGAACAUGCCGGGAUUUAUGAUUAGGGGACUUUUACUCACAGCGACGCGCACAGACCUGAAGCAGGGGGUUGAUGGAUUUGACAAAAGGUCACGCCCGUGUGUGCCGCCCUCCAAUGGAGACCGAGAACAUUUCCAUCGCCUCAGAAAUUCCCCUUGGGUCCCCUCCCAGUGAUGCCCAGCCCCCACCCACGGCGACCCCCCCUCUGAUGUCCGUCGCCAUGAAUUAGUUUUGCCUGCGCCCUAAUUGGAGUCACAUGGCCCAUGUGUACUCCUCGGAGUCUGGUUUCUUUCACUCGGCAUUAAUAAUGCGCUCAGAGUCAUCCAGGCUCCCGCCGCCUGUCCCUUUUUAUUGCUGAGUAGUGCUCCACAGUGCGCUGAACCCCCGGGCCUCCCCGAACUUGGGAGGAUCGGGUAGGUGUCUCCUCCUGGAGGCUGUCAUGAGUGAAGCUACUUGCGAACAUCAGUGGACAAGUCUUCAUUUUUUCUUGAGCAAAUUCUUAAGAGUGGGAUACCUGGGUCCCGGGAUUAGCUUUUGUAAGCGAUCACCAACCAACCAAAGAGUCGGGCUGUUUUGUCUCCACGUAGCUGAACCAGGGUCUUGCUGUUAUUAAGUCUCCUUCACACCUCAGAUACAUGGAGGGGGUGGGGAUGAGACGCGGCUCAGUGACAGAGUGUGUUUCCAACAUGCGCCAGUUUGGGGUUCGUCUCCCCUAAAAAAUAAAUCUGGGCCCAAAGCACA